ensembl:lncRNA
GUGCCCAGAUGGCCCCCACCUGGCGUUGCCGGUGAACGGAACCCAGUGCUGGUUAUUUCUGGUUAGAGGCGCAUGGAGGCCCGCCCUGGGAUGGUGCCACCAGGUUACUUGCCCAGCGGUGAAGGAUGGCAGCUUUACAGCUCCCCGACGCAUCAGACUAAAGAACGUUAGCCAGGGUCUGCACCGGUGGUUCUCAAAGUGCUGUCCCCAGAACUGUCGCCUUGGGAAUGACUAGCACACAUCAGAGAGGCACCUUCUUUCACCCAGCAUCACGAGUGACACAAAAGCACAGACACGAAUCAGGAGAAAUGAAGAAACCAGCCCUUUGUGUCUUUAAAGACAUGGGUCUUCGGCGAGGACUAAAUGUUUCCACAAGAAUGUUGCUCACCCCUCCAUUACUACAUACUCUUCUGCUGAGCUCCAACCUGGCCUUUUAAUCAUUGGUGCUCAAGGUAAAAUCCAUUUCAUGGCAUAAAUAGUUAACUUUCCUAAAUUCAAUAGAUCUUGUGACUACAAAAAUAUUACAUAUUAUAAACUUCUAAUUGAAGGUAAACCAAAACCUCUAAGAAAUUAUCUUGUUUUCUACUACUUUUCAGUGUGUCUUCCUUCUUAUACUAGAAUACUUCUUAGAAAUGAAAAAUUCAUUACAACAAAAUUUACAUUUACUACGCAGCUGUCUGCUAUGAUUUGUAAGUACAUAUAUCUUUUCUAUUGCUUAUGAAAUGAAAGUGUGGAGGUUUUUUUUUUUCUUUUUUUAGCUGUGUGUAUGUGUGUGUGUAUGCACAUGUGGUCCAUAAAAAGUAACUGAAUGAGUGCAGAUGAGAUUCAAUGAGAGGAGCCAUUUUCAAAGCGAAUGUCGGACAGACACAGACACCAUGGUUAGUUUUUUUUUUUUUUUUUUUGAGACCGAGUGUCACUGUGUCGCCCAGACUGGAGUGCAGUGGCGCGAUCUUGGCUCACUGCAACCUCCACCUGCCGGGUUUAAGCAGUUCUCCUGCCUCAGCCUCCUGAGUAACUGGGACUAGAGGCGUGCACCACCGUGCCCAGCUAAUUUUUGUAUUUUCAGUAGAGACGAGGUUUCACCAUGUUGGUUAGGCUGGUCUGGAACUCCUGACCUCAGGUGAUCCACUCACCUCGGCCUCCUAAAGUGCUGGGAUUACAGGCAUGAGCCACUGCACCCAGUCUUGGUUAGUUGGUUUCUGACAGCAAUGAUGAAGUAAUGAACUUGGUGUAAAAGCACCAGAUUCAGGUCAAGAUAUUUUUGAAAAAUAUAUUUUUGCUUAUUUUUAAUGAUAGCAUUUAUUUUUGUCAGCUCUUGAAAUUAAUAAGAGGGCUCCCAUCUGGUUUAUUCAUGGCUUCUUUAAACCUUGUCUCCACAUGUAUUUGUCAUAAUUAGUGAUGGAGAUUCCUAAGUUCCAAGGCUAACAGAAUAAUAUAGCUGUAAACAUAGCAUAUCAUCAUUUGACUAAUUAAGUGGAAUCUAAGAAGAAAACAGUUAACUUCAUUUCUGGGUAGUAAUAUUGCAUUAUGGACAAGAAUAUCUUCUAUGUGUUAGAGUUAUAAAUACUUAGUUUCCAUAAAAAAAUAUUAAAAGUACUUAUACUUAGAUGCUUAGACAUGUAUAUGAGUGUGUGUGUGUGUGUGUGUGUGUGUGUGUGUGUGUUAGAUCUUUCAGCCUUUCCUGGCUGUCCAUUGAAAUAGAGGUCAUAUGGGCUAUUGAUUAAGAGGGUAGUAAUUUUUCAAACACAUAAACAAUAUAAUGAGUCAGACCAAUGGUUUGCCUGUGUAGAAAUUUGAGACAUUGUUUAAUGGAAAUAAUAAAAAUAUGCUGAGUACCUUCUG